UCAGAUGGGACCAUGAGUCCAUGCCUUGAGCUCUGUGUUGGGUGCUGAUAUCUUUGGCUUAAGGCAGCUUCUCGUUGGGUGAGCACAGACAUUCUGAGAUGCCGGCUUCUGGGUGUUCUGAUACCUGGAGAUGCCUCUGAGCCAACUGGGGCUCAUGCAAAUUGUUCCAUCUGCCCAAAGUGGCACUGGCAUGCCCCGUACCACCACCAGGAGCAGGGCCUCAUGGGAGGCAUUUAGGUCAUGAGGGCUCCACCUUUAUGAAUGGAUUCAUGACAUUAUGAAAGGGCUGGAGGGAGUUUGGUCCUCUUUGUCCUUUCACCCUCCAGAGAUGAAUGGAUUCAUGACAUUAUGAAAGGGCUGGAGUGAGUUUGGUCCUCCUUGCCCUUUCACCCUCCAGAGAAGGCAGCGUUCCAGGUACCAUCUUGGAAGCAGAGAGCAGUUCUCACCAGACACUGAACUGCAGCCCUCUGGCCUUGGACUUCCCUGCCUCCAGAAUGGUUCUGAGGCUGAGGAUGAAGAUGAGGGCCCUGCCCAGAGCUGGGAGAGGUGGAGCUGCACGAAGAUGCCACAUGGUGAAGCAAAACCUUAACAUCCCAUCGCCUCAUCUUUCAGGGGCUUCUGUUCCGGGAAGUGGCUCCCAAGAAAUUACUGGUGGAUUGUUGGUGCUCUGAGGGUGAAGAGGUGAAGGAGGAAGAUAAAAAGGAGCAGCCGCAGCUUUCCGGUGUAGCCCCCUCUGCUCUGCCCCGUUGCCCAGACACCCGGCGUUGGGCAUCAAUGGAGCACAAGUACUGUUCUCUAGGCACAUCCGUUCUGGGACCAUUCUCACAUCCUGAGGAUAAAUUUCUACAACACUCAUGCUGUGCUCUCCCUGAAAAUUUUGCCUCUGUUUUGAGCCAUUAUAAUGAUUCAAGUAGAGACUUCAGAGAAAUACCGCCUCUCAUGAAAAAGUCUCAGUAAAUACACUCCUCAAAAUUUUCAUUCUUAAUAUAUCAGUAGCUUUUCAGUUCAUUAUAGUGUUAUUAGUCAGUCUUCAUAAAAGUGCUAUGCAUCUUUAUUAAAAAUGGAAGUUCACAUCAUUUUAUGUUCCCAUAAAAAUGGGUGGUGGUAGCUUUGAUUAAUUUCUUCACAUACAGUGAACUUUACAGCAAAUUGGACAGUGUAAUUCAAUUCCUAUUUCUGCAGAUUUUUUUGUUGGUAGAAAAUUGAUAUCAUUCAUAUGUAAUCAUAUUGCCUUUGCAAGAGAUAUUUAAGAAAUAAUAUCCUGAGGUAAUGAUCGCAUGGCUUAAUUAUUAAUACCGUACUUUCACAUGUGGAGCGCACAUUCCUUUUAUCAAGCUUGACUUCUAUCAGAAAAUAUUUCUUCAGUCCAGAUUCAGCUGCGUGUGCCACCGACGUGCACAUGAGUGUGUGUGUGUUGGCGCUUUAAAACUGUUUCUUUUCUUCACGGCUUGAGCAUCGUUUCUAGGGUAAUCAUUGGUAUGAAGAGGUCUACCAACUUAACUAUAAAGUCCAAGCCAGAGGGAAACCUGAAAAAUAAGGACCAAAAUUCAGACGGUCCCCCACCCACCACCCACUCCCCAGAUGCCAAGCAAAUCUACUGGGUCUCUUUCAAAUGAAACAAUUGCAGACCAGAAAAAGUUUAUCAGGGUUUGGAUGCUGUAUUAGGGCUCUCCAGAGAAGCAAACCGUGUGUGUGUGUGUGUGUGUGUGUGUGUGUGUGUACAGAGAGAGAGAGAGAGAGAGGUUUUUUUUUUAAUUAUUUUUUUUGAGACAGAGUCUUCCUCUGUUGUCCGGGCUGGAGUGCAAUGGUGCAUCCUCAGCUCAUUGUAACCUCUGCCUCCCAGGUUCAAGCUAUUCUCCU
rnacentral:lncRNA from 1 species